UUUGGAACCGCCUAGACUUUCCUGCUCUGCCAGUUGGAAAUGCCAAGAAUCUAAACAUCCAAGAACUUUGGGGAGCUCCAGACCAAAUCAGGAAGAAUAUCAACUCCUGGGUUGAAAAUCAGACCGAGGGACCAGAUUUGACAUCCUGGUCUCUGUUAAAUUGAAGCACCUGUAAGUUAAAUAAAAAGACAAGUGAGUAUACUUUACAGAAAAGUAAUCAUAUGGAAUACACAUCUGUACAUGCAAGUCGGUCAUUCCUACAAUUGCAGUAUAUAUCAUUAACUAAACGAGGGGGCUUUGACUUGGCAUAAAUGAUGCAUUAAUUAAACGAAAAGAUUUAGUCAAGAGCUGCUUUUAAAUACAUUUUAAAAGUCUAAUUUAAGUUGCUAGUCUUUGCAUUUAAUACUUUUUAUAGUAAAUUGAGGUUAAUGUUGGAAUAUCCUUAGGUAAAAUUAUCUUAUUUUCCAUAUUUUCUCUUUUACUCAUGGUUCUUUUAAAAAGAAACUUUGCCUCUUCAAGACCAUAGUUUAGAUAAUUUAAGUAAAAGAUGUCACUGUCCCAGAUAUUUGGAAUAUUAAAGGAUUUUAGUUUGUUUUUGUUUUUUCCCCACUAAUUAAAUACCUCAUUUCUCUGUCUACCACCACUUGGCAUAUAUAGACAUAAUCUUUGUGU